rnacentral:lncRNA from 1 species
GGCUGCACCAUCACCACUGAGGCCCUGUUCACCUUCUGACCCCCGGUCCCCAGCCCCUUACGCCCUUCAGCUUUGGGCAGGGUUUGGGGCACCAGGCCUAGAACGUUCUUAGCCAUCAUCUUCGGGCUGGUGGCAGAGCCCCCAGGCAGAACCACAGCCUUUCGGGCCAGCACUAGCUGCCAUCAGCAUGGCAGUGCUGGCGUUCUGGAUGGUGGCCACGGGCAGCACUGUGCCUUUCAGCCUUGUGCCGUCGCCCAGCUGCACACUCACCACCUUCGGGGCCUCGGGGGCUGGAGCCGCAGGGGACAGCUUCAGGAGGCUCAGCCUCGGCCAGGAAGGCCCCCCUCGGCCAAGGGGCAGGGCGGUCAGGGUCUGAGGGGACCCGGGUUACAGUCCUCGUGAUAUUCCCACAGGAUGUCUUAAUGGUCUUGAUCCGCACCUUGAGGGGCCGAGAGGAGUUGGAGGAGGCAGGGAGUCGUUGCUGUCCUCAUCUGCAGCCUCGGCACCACUAGAGGGACUCUGGGGACUUCGAGGGGGGAGACUUGACCACCAGCCCCUCAUCUUCCUUCAGCCUGGGCCCUUCCCCUUCCUGCACCCCCAGCCAGGGUCUCAGACUGCUCCGGACACACAGUGUUCUUCACGAUGACGCUGACUGUGGAAGUGUCUGGCACUGCAGGCCGUGCUCAGAGCGGCAGGUCCCAGACCUGAUGAAAACAGGAAGAAAAAGGAGAAACUGAGAAGCCUGGAUGAGAUCCUGGACCUCCUCCCUCAGAACCUGUCUAUCCCCUCCAGCCGGGUACACCUCGGCUGGACUGGGUCCUGAGGAGCUGCUGCAGGGGCUGGCGUCCCACACCAGCAAGCCACAGGAACCCAGCAAAUGCAAAGGAAGACACUCGGGCUGGGGAUGUAGCUCGGCAGCCCAGCACCUGCCUGGCAAGCGCAAGGCCCUGAACUCAUUUCUCAGUACCAAAAAAAAGGAAAACACUGCACAGACACAGAAAAGAGUAACAGGGGCAGAAGGGCUCGUGGGACAUCUUAGUUGAAACCAGCACAUCCAUUCCUGUGCCCAGCACAGAGCCAAUCAAUCAAUACCAAUAUUAAGGAGGAAG